rnacentral:rRNA from 1 species
CGGCGAGUGAACGGCGAAUAGCUCAAAUUUGAAAGCUGGCGUCUUCGACGUCCGCGUUGUAAUUUGUAGAGGAUGUUUCGGCGAGGGCUCCUGCCUAAGUUCCCUGGAAUGGGACGUCACAGAGGGUGAGAAUCCCGUAUGUGGCGGGCGGCCUUAGCCAUGUGAAACUCCUUCGACGAGUCGAGUUGUUUGGGAAUGCAGCUCUAAAUGGGAGGUAAAUUUCUUCUAAAGCUAAAUACCGGCCAGAGACCGAUAGCGCACAAGUAGAGUGAUCGAAAGAUGAAAAGCACUUUGGAAAGAGAGUUAAAAAGUACGUGAAAUUGUUGAAAGGGAAGCGCUUGCAACCAGACUCGUUCGCAGUUGCUCAGCCCGCCUCUUGGUGGGUGUACUCUUCUGCGGUCGGGCCAGCAUCAGUUCGGGCGGUCGGAUAAAGGUGUCGGGAAUGUAGCACCCUUCGGGGUGUGUUAUAGCCCGGCGCGGAAUGCGGCCAGCCUGGACUGAGGAUCUCGCUUCGGCAAGGAUGCUGGCGUAAUGGUUGUAAGCGGCCCGUCUUGAAACACGGACCAAGGAGUCUAACAUCUAUGCGAGUGUUUGGGUGUCAAACCCAUGCGCGUAAUGAAAGUGAACGGAGGUGGGAACCCGCAAGGGUGCACCAUCGACCGAUCCUGAUGUCUUCGGAUGGAUUUGAGUAAGAGCAUAGCUGUUGGGACCCGAAAGAUGGUGAACUAUGCCUGAAUAGGGUGAAGCCAGAGGAAACUCUG